rnacentral:rRNA from 1 species
CCUACGGGUGGCAGCAGUGGGGAAUAUUGGGCAAUGGGCGCAAGCCUGACCCAACAACGCCGCGUGAAGGAAGAAGGCUUUCGGGUUGUAAACUUCUUUUCUCAGGGACGAAGCAAGUGACGGUACCUGAGGACUAAGCCACGGCUAACUACGUGCCAGCAGCCGCGGUAAUACGUAGGUGGCAAGCGUUAUCCGGAUUUACUGGGUGUAAAGGGCGUGUAGGCGGGAAAGCAAGUCAGAUGUGAAAACCAUGGGCUCAACCUGUGGCCUGCAUUUGAAACUGUUUUUCUUGAGUACUGGAGAGGCAGACGGAAUUCCUAGUGUAGCGGUGAAAUGCGUAGAUAUUAGGAGGAACACCAGUGGCGAAGGCGGUCUGCUGGACAGCAACUGACGCUGAGGCGCGAAAGCGUGGGGAGCAAACAGGAUUAGAUACCCUUGUAGUC